GUCUGCCCGACGUGAGAAAUUGUCGUCGACAUCCGUUAUUCGCGGAGUCGGCUCAGCAUCUUCCGAUGUUGAUCGUUCGGAUAAUAAUGGGGGACUACGUCGUUCGAGACAUGACGUCAAAACGACCUUAGGUUUCUCUUCCUUGCGAGUCACGUCCGUACUCGCGAGUCACUGGUCACGUCAAACGAUGCGUACGUUACCGGAGUUACAUUAUUUAAACAAUCAACUCUUUGGUCAAUUGGGCUUAUUGUUUACAGAUUCUUCUAAAUUCAUUCACUAAAUAUAGCGGUGACGAAGUGCUGUAAAAGCAUGAAACAUUGAUGCAACAGCUAAACGAAUUUUCAUAGAUAAUUUGAUUUUGUGACUACAAUACAAAGUUAUAGGUGGCCGUAGCCCAAAGGGGUACAACGCUAUGCAAGGCGUUUCAGAUGAUGACGUCUCUAGAAAUGCUUCCGUCAAAUUUUCCUAUCGAACGCAACAGUUGCCACUAUCGGGAUUCUGUCCUGCCAGCGAAAAUAGUAGGACAUUUGAGCGAAAAUCUAAAAAAAAAAAAACAUUUAAAAGCCACCUCUCAAUAUGAUAAAUAAUAUACGAGCAUCUACGUACAUCUGCGAGAGUAUCCGUGACACAGGCAAUGUUACCUAAUAAAAGCACACCCUAUCGGCUGCCCGACCCGGAGAUAUAAUAACUAAUCAGCAGUUAUACCAAAGCAAAUUCAACAUAAACCAAGUUCUCCAAGCUCCAGCUCUCUGUAACCAAUCUACCCUGUCUAUCUGUAACCGAACAUUACAUGCAAAUAUAUCUGUACGAUAUACUGUAUAACGGAAACAGAUAUCGUGCAUAUACAUUUGCACGUUAACUCUCUGUCUGUAUGUUCAGUGUUCUUGAAGGCGCCUACAACAAAUUAAACAAAUCUUGUUUUUUUUUUUUGCAUUAGAAUCACGCGCUCUUUUUCAAUGAUGAAAACAACGUAGUAAAAAAAGAACUUAUUCGCGAAAAAUUAUAGUUCGUACCUUUACGCUGCUCGUGGUUUCAUCAUGCUAGUUUUGCUUGAUCCUAGAAAGCUCGAUCUUUAUUCUGUCUUCCUUGUGUAACAUUAUAAUUUUACUAUUAUUACCCUAUUAUAAUAGUGUAGAAGAAUAGAUGCGUACACGACUACAUUGGGGCCGUACAUACUAGACAUGCUGGUCGGCUACGUCAGAACUGCUAUAAUUGUUAUUUUCGCGCUCUCCUUUUCCACAAAGACAAAAAGCGUGAAAAUCGAACCUGGUGGUUAAUCAAUAAAGCGCAAUAUGUUAAAAACAAAUAUGGUGUCCACCUGUCUGUAAACACGGUACCAAGCAUUUCGCAUGAUGCCCUAAGAGAUUUCAAGCCAUAAUUCUAUAUAUCCAGGGCGCGUAGUGUUAUUCCUGUCCCCUUCGUAUUAAUAAAUUGUGGCUUAACAAAACAAAACGAAUAUGUACAAAUCGAGCAAAAAAGAAACAACAGAAACCACAAACAAAAUAUACGUUUGCCUGUAUCAUAUUCGACAGCAGAACCAGUCAUAUAACUCUACGAUCGAAUGAGUAUCCGGUUGAAUUUAACAAAGUGGUCGAUCACCAUUAGCUCAAGUACUAUUACACGUUACGAUGUCCUAUUGUUAGGCAAAAACAUACAAAUUUCUGGGUUUUUGCCCAACGCAAGCGGCAAGGGCACGUAUGUUCGGUUCGCAGGCAAGCAAAUUUGUAGUCGUCGCGUAAAUCAUAGCGGAAAGCUGAUCCAAUGGCAAAAACGAAACUUAACUUUCAUAUAACUAUCAGUUUUCAACCUGUUAUCCGCCGUUAUAAACUUCUGCUUUUUAUUGAACAGUUUUGUAAAAACGCGUUAUUUGUACCCGGGGCCUACACUGUGGAACAACUCGUUAAAAUUCGUUCUUGGGCCAAAGCAUUUGUCGUGUCUGAGUGUGGCUGAUGAUACUGGCAAUGCGGUGACAAAGCCGCAUUCGAUACUUUGAUGGAAGUUUAUUCUAUAGACAAACUAAUCUAAACUAACAACGGAUAUACGAUGAAUAGCAAUAAAGCUGACUAACAUAAAGCACAAUACAUUUUUUUUUCUAUAUAACUUCAAUGUGUGGUAUCUGCACGCAAUAAACAUUUGGUACUUCAACUUGUAAAGGCAUCCUAAGAAAUCUUACGAAGUUGACCCUCUAACAUGUGAGCACCCUGUUCCUUACAGACCGGCAGAGGUUACAUCUUUACUAAAAA